AACGUGCCCUUCUCUAGGGAAUAGCCACUGGAAACGGUGAGUAAUACCUUAUACGCCCUUCGGGGGAAAGAUUUAUCGGAGAAGGAUCGGCCCGCGUUAGAUUAGAUAGUUGGUGGGGUAACGGCCUACCAAGUCUACGAUCUAUAGCUGGUUUUAGAGGAUGAUCAGCAACACUGGGACUGAGACACGGCCCAGACUCCUACGGGAGGCAGCAGUGGGGAAUCUUGGACAAUGGGGGCAACCCUGAUCCAGCCAUGCCGCGUGAGUGAUGAAGGCCUUAGGGUCGUAAAGCUCUUUCGCCUGUGAUGAUAAUGACAGUAGCAGGUAAAGAAACCCCGGCUAACUCCGUGCCAGCAGCCGCGGUAAUACGGAGGGGGUUAGCGUUGUUCGGAAUUACUGGGCGUAAAGCGCGCGUAGGCGGACCAGAAAGUUGGGGGUGAAAUCCCGGGGCUCAACCCCGGAACUGCCUCCAAAACUCCUGGUCUUGAGUUCGAGAGAGGUGAGUGGAAUUCCGAGUGUAGAGGUGAAAUUCGUAGAUAUUCGGAGGAAC
rnacentral:rRNA from 1 species